CCAGGAUGCCCCAGGAUGUCCCUGCCGGUGGCGCUGGUGCUGCUCCUGGCCCUGGGCCCUGGGGGCCCCUCCGACGGCUGCCUGCACUGCGACCCCAACUUCUCCCUCCGCUUCGCCUCCUACGCCCCGCACCUCAGCCGCAAGGCCUGGGGCCUCGGGGUGGUGCCGGCCGCCGGGAGGAUGCUCCGCGGCUGGGCCCAGGACACCCUCCGCAGCCUCCAGCUCGGGGUCCCCGCCGAGAUCCCCAUGAUGGAGCUCCAGAUGAUCGCGACCAAGGUGUAUGCAAAGCUCGACACCCUGUUUCAAGGCAAGCUAUAUAAGCCAGGGGCUCUUCCGGAAGUCCUGCGUUCCAUUUUCGAGGAACAGGUCAAAAUGUUACGGAACGCCAUCCUUGAAAGCAGAGUGAAGUGUGAACGCCAUUGUGGAAUCAACCAGUACAAAGCCAUCAAUUGUGAGACCUGUAAUAAUACCAAACCCACUUGCUUUGGCUACAACUGCGAGUCCUCGGAAGCUUGGGAGACUGCAUUGAAGGGCCUCUAUAAAUAUAUAAACAACUUGAGCUCGGAGCCAGAAAAUUGGGCAGUGGGCUUAAAGCAGCUCCCCGGAUUUAGCCACUGUACAUCCACAAGCCCAGAUAACCUGAAUUUUACAAGUAUAGGCAAGACCCUCUCGCAAAACUGGCUCAACUUGAUGGCCCUGAAGGAUUUGGAAGAGCAGACGUCCUCCCUCCAGAUGCUGGCGCCCCGCUGCUGAAGCUUUUCCACCAACGGAAGGCCGUCCGGUCGGGAACUGGGACUCCCGGUGGAAAGCUUCGCCCGAAUGUCAGCCGAAACACGAUUUUGCCUGCCACUGCA